rnacentral:rRNA from 1 species
UACGUAGGGUGCGAGCGUUAAUCGGAAUUACUGGGCGUAAAGCGUGCGCAGGCGGUGAUGUAAGACAGUUGUGAAAUCCCCGGGCUCAACCUGGGAAUUGCAUCUGUGACUGCAUCGCUAGAGUACGGUAGAGGGGGAUGGAAUUCCGCGUGUAGCAGUGAAAUGCGUAGAUAUGUGGAGGAAUACCGAUGGCGAAGGCAGCCCCCUGGGUCGACACUGACGCUCAUGCACGAAAGCGUGGGGAGCAAACAGG